rnacentral:rRNA from 1 species
GACGAACGCUGGCGGUGUGCUUAACACAUGCAAGUCGAACGGUAAGGCCCUUUCGGGGGUCCACGAGUGGCGAACGGGUGAGUAACACGUGAGUAACCUGCCCUCAUCUCUGGGAUAACAGUCGGAAACGGUUGCUAAUACUGGAUAUGAGCUUGCAAGGCAUCUUGUGGGUUGGAAAGAUUUUUUUUGGUUGGGGAUGGACUCGCGGCCUAUCAGCUUGUUGGUGAGGUAGUGGCUCACCAAGGCUUCGACGGGUAGCCGGCCUGAGAGGGCGACCGGCCACAUUGGGACUGAGAUACGGCCCAAACUCCGACGGGAGGCAGCAGUGGGGAAUAUUGCACAAUGGACGGAAGUCUGAGGCAGCAACGCCGCGUGCGGGAUGACGGCCUUCGGGUUGUAAACCGCUGUCAAUUGUGACGAAGCUUUUUUGUGACGGUAGCAGUAGAAGAAGCACCGGCUAACUACGUG